rnacentral:rRNA from 1 species
ACUACCCGAAAGGGAGACAAACCCGGUGAACUGAAACAUCUAAGUAGCCGGAGGAAAAGUAAUCAACAGCGUUCCGCUCAUGAAUGGGCUGGAUGCAGAUGCGCAGGAUGUGAUUUCUUCAGCGAGGCGGAAGAGCGAGUCAUAGCGGUGGCUAUGUCGAGCGAUGACAACGAAGCGGAAGGAAGCACAGACAAGCAGAUGCGCCAGCAUAUCCAUGAGUGGAGCGCGUGAGAUUCCCUCAGUAGCGGCGAGCGAAGCGGGAAGAGCCCAAACCGAAAGCUUUCGGGCUUUCGGGGUUGAGGACCAGCACAAAGGGAAAGCAGCCUAGUGGAACGGCAUGGGAAGGCCGGGCGAAGAGAGUGAAACCCUCGUACACGAAAGGCUGAAGAACGGGCUGGAAUCCAGAGUACCACGGGACACGAGGAACCCUGUGGGAAGCCGGGUGGACCACCAUCCAAGGCAAAAUACUACCUGACGACCGAUAGAGGAAAGUACCGUGAGGGAAAGGCGAAAAGAACCGCGGGAGCGGAGUGAAAUAGAACCUGAAACCGUAUGUCCACAAGCAGUCGAAGCGCUUUAUAUGCGCGACGGCGUGCCUAUUGAAGAAUGAACCGGCGAGUUAUCCUGUCGAGCGAGGUUAAGCGGAAAACGCGGAGCCGAAGCGAAAGCGAGUCUUAAAAGGGCGAAGAGUUCGACGGGGUAGACCCGAAACCACAGUGAUCUAUGCAUGGCCAGGCUGAAACUCAGGUAAAAUUGAGCGGAGGGCCGAACCCGUGAGUGUUGAAAAACUUUGGGAUGAGCUGUGCAUAGGGGUGAAAUGCCAAUCGAACGUGGAGAUAGCUGGUUCUCCCCGAAAUAGCUUUAGGGCUAGCCUCAGGCGAAUAACCAUAGAGACGGUAGAGCACUGAUCGGGCAAGGGGGCGUAAAGCCUACCGACCCCAGUCAAACUGCGAAUGGCUGCAUGUCAAACUCGGGAGUCAGCGUGCGAGUGAUAAGACCCGUACGCAAGAGGGAAACAGCCCAGACCGCCAGCUAAGGUCCCCAAUGCUGUACUAAGUGGAAAAGGAUGUAGGAAUUCGAAAACAACCAGGAUGUUGGCUCAGAAGCAGCCACCAUUUAAAGAGUGCGUAAUAGCUCACUGGUCGAGAGUCCCUGCGCCGAAAAUAUCCGGGGCUCAAGUACAGAACCGAAGCUGCGGCUGCAUACUUAGGUAUGCGGGGUAGGGGAGCGUACCAUGCGCGGCGAAGCCGUACCGGAAGGAGCGGUGGAGUGCAUGGCAGUGAGAAUGCCGGUAUGAGUAGCGAAAAGGCCAGCAAGAAUCUGGCCCACCGAAAGCCUGAGGUUUCCUGGGCAACGCUCGUCGUCCCAGGGUCAGUCGGGACCUAAGCCGAGGCAGCAAGCAUAGGCGAUGGACAACUGGCAAACAUUCCAGUACCGCAGGGAGUCGUUUGAGUGAUGGAGUGACGCAGGAGGGAGCUUGGGCGCGCGAAUGGAAGAGCGCGUCGAAGCCGGUAGGCUGCAAGGGAGGCAAAUCCCCCUUGUAAAAGCCGAGACGUGACAGGGAGGCAAACCUAUGGGUGAGCCGAAGCCAAGCGGACCACACUGCCGAGAAAAGCUUCUAGCGAGACGAACUGCGCCCGUACCGAAACCGACACAGGCAGGCAGGGAGAGGAUCCUAAGGUGCGCGGGAAAACCCUCGUUAAGGAACUCUGCAAAUUGCAUCCGUAACUUCGGGAAAAGGAUGGCCGGAACUGGUGAAGACCCCUGCGGUUGGAGCCGGGGCCGGCGACAGAAGAGAAGCCCAAGCGACUGUUUACCACAAACACAGGUGCCUGCAAAAGAGAAAUCUGACGUAUAGGUGCUGACGCCUGCCCGGUGCUGGAAGGUUAAGGGGAGAGGUCAGGAGCAAUCCGAAGCCUUGAGCUGAAGCCCCAGUAAACGGCGGCCGUAACUAUAACGGUCCUAAGGUAGCGAAAUUCCUUGUCGGGUAAGUUCCGACC